rnacentral:rRNA from 1 species
UCCGAAUGGGGAAACCCACCCUUAGGGGUAUCCUAUACUGAAUACAUAGGUAUAGGAGGCGAACCUGGUGAACUGAAACAUCUAAGUAACCAGAGGAAAAGAAAUCAAAUGAGAUUCCCACAGUAGCGACGAGCGACCUGGGAGCAGCCUGCAAGUGAUAUCAGCUUGGUUAGUGGAACGGUCUGGAAAGUCCGGCAAUAGAGGGUGAUAGCCCCGUACACGAAAACCUCGCUGUGGUACUAAGCUUGCGACAAGUAGGUCGGGACACGUGUUAUCUUGACUGAACAUGGGGGGACCAUCCUCCAAGGCUAAAUACUACUGAC